UAGUGUCAGAAUGGGAAGUCUGGGUUA
rnacentral:piRNA from 1 species